UGGGGAAUAUUGCGCAAUGGGCGAAAGCCUGACGCAGCAACGCCGCGUGAGUGAUGAAGGCCUUCGGGUCGUAAAGCUCUGUCGGAGGGAACGAAUGCUCUUGAGGUUAACAGCCUCGGGAGGUGACGGUACCCUCAAAGGAAGCACCGGCUAACUCUGUGCCAGCAGCCGCGGUAAUACAGAGGGUGCAAGCGUUGUUCGGAAUUACUGGGCGUAAAGGGCGCGUAGGCGGCAUGACAAGUCACUUGUGAAAUCUCUGGGCUUAACCCAGAACGGCCAAGUGAUACUGUCGCGCUAGAGUGCAGAAGGGGCAAUCGGAAUUCUUGGUGUAGCGGUGAAAUGCGUAGAUAUCAAGAGGAACACCUGAGGUGAAGACGGGUUGCUGGGCUGACACUGACGCUGAGGCGCGAAAGCCAGGGGAGCAAACGGGAUUAGAUACCCCCGUAGUCCCUGAGCGGGCUGGCAAGGCGCAU
rnacentral:rRNA from 1 species